CUCCAUUUUCAGUUUUUUAAGGAAUCUCCAUACUGUUCCGUGUAAGUUCCAUCCUCAUCCUUCAUUACUAAGAAUGGUAACAAGUCACCUGCAUUACUAACCUAGUCUGCACCUCUCAGGGUACCAGCAGGUGGUGCCUAGCCUAAUCAAAACUCAUAUUUAGAUGCUAGAAAAUAAGUUUCCUGUUGCACCAGGCCCAGAGCAUUCUAUUACAAGAUAUGCUGAGUGUCUACCCCACAUCCACUCCUGGGCCAGGCACUGUGGGAGACAUGAAAGAAAUAGAAAGCGUUGGACACAGGCAGAUUGUUGCAGAAAAGAGUAGUUGCAGAGAAUAGCUGGGAAGCUGUUUCUGCCAUUCAGGAAGGAGAUGGUAAAGGCCUGGACUAGGCAGCGCUGGCAAAAGCAGGAGAGAAGCAGCAGUUAGGGCGUCACCAAAGAAAGCAUAAAUCAGGCUGAGCAUCACUGCAGAGUGCAAAGAGCACGGGCUGGGUCUGAUCUCUACCUCACAGCUGCGUGGCCCCAAAUCGUUCUGAACCUCAGUUUUUCACCUGUGAAAUUAGAACAGUAACACUGUCCCCACCUCACUGGAUUAUUGAGAAGAACCAUGAGUUAGCAUCCAGCCCUUGGUCUAUCUCAUCGUGAGUUCAACGUGAUGGUGGGAUAGUCAUGCUGAUGGCUGGAAACCCAAGGGCUGAGAGCUGGCAACGGAGGACAGGAAGGCAGGAGUCCUGAGCUGGGAGAGGCUGGGGUCGUUCAGGCCGCAUGUGACUCUGAAUUCUUAGAAGAGGCUGCAGCAGCCGUGCCUAAGUUCCUGGACAGGGACCGAACCUGCGCCCCCUACAGUGGAAGGGCAGAGUCUUUUAACUGCUGGACCGCCAGGGAAGUCCCAAGGCUGGAUCUUGAUUACACCACUGGUCUCAGAGCUGCAGAACGUUCCAUCAUGUGUGUGGAUAUAUUUAGUAGUAGUUUAUUCAACCAGUUUCCUAUUCAUGGCCACUAGGGUUGUAACUAGUCCUUUGCUGUUACAAGAGUGCAGCAGUGAACACACCUGUGCACGUUUUUCAUAUUUUGCCACCAUGUCUUCGGGAGAGACUCCUAGGGUACUCCCCUGCUGCGGCCCCAUCCCCACAACUGUUCUGGUGCCCGCAGCCUGGGCAUGGGAUGCUGGAAUGCUAACUCCAGCCUCCACACCUCCUUUCCAUUCGAUUGAUUGGCCAGGCCGGUAGAAACAGCAACAGGAAGGCGGUCUCCCUUCAUUUUUGUCGGCCAGUCUCAUACCACAGCAUCUUACUGGGGGGAACUCUAGCUGGAAAGGAAUCUGAGAAGGGCAGUUUUCUGCUUUCUUGUCUCUACCGCACAGGACAGCUCGAAGAAGUGGGUUGGGUGCCAGUCACCACAUCCAGCUCCCCACUUAACUCCUUUGUUUCACAGAAGAGGAAAUUGAGGUUUGGGAGGGGUGUGUUAUUAGCUGAAGAUCACUAAACUGGUUCGUGGCUAACAGCCUGGCCAUUUCCUCCUCACGUCCCUGCCAAUGGGAGUCCUUGUGAGUUGGAGUUUCACUGAAUCAAAUAACUUAAAAAGGCAGAAGCCACUCCAUACGCUAUGAA